UACAGAGGUCUCAAGCGUUGUUCGGAUUCAUUGGGCGUAAAGGGCGCGUAGGCGGCGGGGUAAGUCGGGUGUGAAAUCUCAGAGCUCAACUCUGAAACUGCACUCGAUACUGCUCUGCUUGAGGACUGGAGAGGAGACUGGAAUUCACGGUGUAGCAGUGAAAUGCGUAGAUAUCGUGAGGAAGACCAGUGGCGAAGGCGGGUCUCUGGACAGUUCCUGACGCUGAGGCGCGAAAGCGUGGGGAGCGAACAGG
rnacentral:rRNA from 1 species